rnacentral:rRNA from 1 species
CAACUUUCAACAACGGAUCUCUUGGCUCUCGCAUCGAUGAAGAACGCAGCGAAAUGCGAUACGUAAUGUGAAUUGCGAAUUCAGUGAAUCAUCGAAUCUUUGAACGCACCUUGCACCCCUUGGUAUUCCGAGGGGUGCACCCGUUUGAGUGUCGUGA